CACAGACUUUUUUUACUGACACACGCUGAGGGAUUCGGCAAUAAAUGUGAUGUAAGCUACAAGAAUGUUUUGGUGGUUGAAAAGUUAUUAAAUCUGGGUGGUUGAAUAGUUAUUAAAUUUGUGUAUAAAAUCUUAAAUUCGUUUAGGUGGUUGAAUACUUAUUAAAUUUGUGUAUAAAAAGCACCCAAUUUGUAUAUAAGUAGAAUGUUACAUGUUAGAAUUCACACCUACAUUUAUCUAUUUAUGAAGUUACAUGUUACAACACUUAACCAACCUAACCCACUGCAAAAUCUUUAACUCCAUCUUCCUACUGCUCCCACUUUUUCUUAUCUCUCAAAACCGAUCUCGAAAUUCAUUUCUCCCCCAUGAAAACACUGCUGAAGUAGGUUCAUUUCUUCCCCCAUGAAAACACUGCUGAAGUAGGUUCAUUUCUCGCUCAUCAUCACCUAAUUUCUAGAUUAUUUUCUUUUUUACUCUUAAUACUUUAUUAUCUUUUGAAUUUUUUUUCUUCUGUUGAUUAACAUUGUACUUUCCGUAGCAGUUAUUUGAUGUUGUUGCUGCUGUGCCAAGAGUACAUUUGAGGGAAGAGAGGAGAUAAGGCAGCGUUGAAGAUUCAUCACCAUGAACCCCUCAAACCCUCCCUCAAAUCCUCCUCCAAAUCCUCCCCCAAACACUCCCAAUACAACAAUUCCUAAACUCUUACAGUUUUUAUUUGGCCUAAUAGGUUGUUUUUCUUUGGCUCUUUUGUUAGGUAUGUAUCUCAUUUCAGGAGAUACUAGGAGUUUAGUAGGUGAUAUAAAAUGUAAUCCAAAUGUAAAAUUUGUAGGACUUCUUUUUAUUUUUGAAAUAUUUGCUUUUUCUUGUUAUUUUGUUUCUGCUUGUCUUACUGCGGCUCUAAGAGCAUUGUUUGGUAAUCCUCAAAGGUUUACACCAGCAUUUAUUAGCAGGUUUAGAUUUGCGACACAAGUUUGUCUAGGGUUUUUUGGGGUCGCCAACCUUUUUUUCAUCCUCUCACUUGUAUUUAUCAUUGAGACCCGACUAGGACUCCUCUCAUGCCACAUUGCAUUAUCGACACUAGGGGUUUCCGUGCUUGUCAUCCUCACUGGUGGUGCUACCUUGACGAUUGUUAUUUGGUUUGGUAGAGAGAUUCAUAAACAAGUUGUUAUUUAGGUAUAAGUAUUUUAGCUUUUUUAUUUUAGUUUUUAUUAUGUAUUUUUAGCUCAAUUUGUUUGCAUCGUUUUCUUUAUUUCAUAACUGCCCAAUUUUCUUCUUCAUUCUCCUUCAACCGAUCCUCUUCCAAAUUUCAAAACGGUUUCUUCUCAUUAUUCUACAACCGUUUCAUCUGCCAUGACUCACAUACAUAACCCUAAAUACUUCAUGCUCCUUUACCUUAGCGACACAAAAGCAGAUUCAAUCAAUUGAUUAGGUCUAGCAAUAGCAACGAGAAUUUCUGAGCUGCCACUCCUACUCUCUUGAAGCAAAUUGUGAUGAUUGUUCCUCUGGAUCAAAAGUUAGAUAUGCUAUGGACUUUCAUAAAAGACCCAUCUACAGUUCAGAACAAUUGUCUUUCUAUCAAGUUGUAAAACAGUUUGCAGCUGAAAAAUUAAGUACUCAAUCAAUCUGGCCCUUAGUCUGCAUUUGUGGAACUUCUGUUCUGGUUUAUCAGCUGUACCGUUGAAGUGCUUCCAUGGGAGGAUGAAACAAGAAAAAAGAAUGGCAAUAUAUUCCGCGUUCUGUGAGAAUCACUCAGUUCUCUUCGCAACUGAUGUGGCUGCAAGAGGCCUUGAUUUUAAUAAAGCAGUUGACUGGGUUGUUCAGACUCGUUUAUUAAAGAAAAAAAAGCUCAAGAUUAACGUGCAUAGACCACUUGGAAAUCGGGUUGUAUUCGAUGACGAAGGCAACACACUCCCUCCACUAGCCAGGAUUGCUGGCACACAAAGUGGCUAGGAUUCAUUGCUAAUUGAUCCAGAACAAAAAGCUGAAUACUAUAAAAGGAUGCGAGAGGAUUUGAAGAAGGCAGACAAGGAAGACAAAAUUGUGGUUGUGCGAGAGGAUUUGAAGAAGGCAGACAAGGAAGACAAAAUUGUGGUUGUGUAAAUAUAUUGGUUUUAAUAUUCUCGCAGUCACUCCCCAGCUAGUAUUAUAUGCAUUUGUAGAUUUCUAGACUUGUGUUGCAUGUUGUCAUUAUUGGGUCUUUAUUCUAAGUAUGCACGCUUAGUUGAAAAGUGUAAUA